rnacentral:tRNA from 1 species
GUUGACUUAGUUUAAUUAAAAUGUAACAUUGAAGAUGUUUUGAUAUAUCUUUAUAGUUAACA